AGAUGCAGUGUCAGUGAGCGUCAGCGUCAAAGCGUCCUGUACGGCGUCGGCGUCAGCGUCGGCGUCGGCGUCAGCGUGCGUAGCGUCGGCGUCAGCGUCGGCGCCAGCGUGCGUAGCGUCGGGGUCGCGUUCGACGUCGUGGGCGUGGCAGCUAAGUUCAUCGGCGGCAGCGGUGAGGAAGGAAGUGGCGGCGGCGGUCUGAGAAGUCGGAGGUCUGCGAGGAAGCAGAGGCCGGAAGCCUCAGUGUUCGCUGGCAACGGCUGCAGCGGCAGUGAACCAGGAAGCCAGGAAGCGGCUGCUGUCGUGUGGGCGUCCCGUGGGACGUGGUGCUCUGGAUGGCGCAGAGUUACAAGAGAGGCAGAUUCAGAGAAAGAGAGAAGUCUUGCAUCUGCUGGUUCACUCUCCACAUGGCCACAACAGCUGGAACUGCAUCAGGAGCCAGGAGCUUCCCUCAGGUCUCCCAGGUGGGUGUAGGGGCCCAAGGACUUGGACCAUCCUCUUCUGCUUUCCCAGGCCGUAGCAGAGAGCUGGAUCAGAAAUGGAGCAACCAGGACUCAAACCAGCAUCCAUAUGGGAUGGCGGCACUGUAGGUGGUGGCCCUACCAAUUAUGCCAUGUCACUGGCCCCAGAAUUUCCAUUUUAACAUUUUUUCUUACUUGCAUUUCCAUCGAAGAAGGGGUUGAUGAUGACAUGUUAGGAAUCUAUUAUUAAAUGAUGGAUAACAGCCCUCCUGCAUUACUCCUUGUUUCCAGCUCCGGCAGAUUGAAUUUACAAAUGGUUUUGGUGCUUCUAUCACACAGUAAAUGAUUUUUCCAAUGUAAGCCAUAUUCAUUCCUAUUUUACUCAAUUUUAGCAUUAAGACUUAAUGAUAAUGCUAACUAAAUUUUUUUAAAAAAUUUAAUUAAAUUGCAUUUGCAUAUGAAAGUGGAGGCAAUAUUACCUAGUUUAUUCUACUUCUAAAUAUACAUAAAAUAUUCUUGAGGAAACAGGAUGGCAGUCAGGUUAGAGAGGGCUAGUUCUUGAAAAGAAAGUUGUAAUACUUAAUCAUUUAGGAGCGGCCAUCUGGAAGUAUUGAUGCUCUUCAUUCUUCACAAUUAUUUAAUUAUGUUCUAGGUGGCAUUUCUUUUUUUUUUUUUUUUUUUUUGGACAGGCAGUUAGACAAUGAGAGAGAGAGAAAGGUCUUCCUUCUGUUGGUUCACCCCCCAAAUGGCCGCUAUGGCUGGCACUGUGCCGAUCCAAAGCCAGGAGCCAGGUGCUUCUCUUGGUCUCCCAUGCAGGUGCAGGGCCCAAGCACCUGGGGCCAUCCUUCACUGCCUUCCCGGGCCACAGCAGAGAGCUGGACUGGAAGAGGAGCAACUGGGACAGAAUCUGGCGCCUCAACCGGAACUAGAACCUGGGGUGCCAGCAUCGCAGGUGGAGGGUUAGUCAAGUGAGCCGCGGUGCUAGCCUAGGUGACAUUUCAUUGCUUGAUGCCUUUUGUGGAUAUAUCAUACUUUAUACAUCCAGUUGCUGAAUCACAGUAAUAGGCUGAUUCCAUAUUUCAGCUAUCGUGAGUAGCACUGCCGUCAACAUGGAAUGGAAAUAUCCUUUUGACGCACUGAAGUCAUAACCUUUGAACACAUACCCAGUAAUGGAACUGCGGGAUUUUACUCAGUUCUUUUUUGCUAGAGAGACUCCCAUACUGUUUUCCAUAAUGGUUGUGCUAAUUUGCCUUCCCACAAAUACACUAAAAAUUUCACCUGUCUUGAAAUCCAUGCCACCCUUUGUUAUUUUUUGUUUUCUCCAUGGUAGUCACUCUAACUAGAGUGAGAUGAUAAUCUUAUUCUGGUUUUAACUUGCAUUUUUCUCUUGAUUAAUGAUGUGGAGAAUUUUUUUAUGUAACUAUUGGACAUGUGCAUGUCUUCCUUUGAGAUGAGUAUGUUAAGUUCUUCAGCCUAGAUGAAAAGUUGUUGUUUUUUCUGGUUUUUUGUUUUGUUUUGUUUUGUAUUUUUUAGCCCUGGGUUUUUUGAGAUAAUUGUGUAGUCUGGAUAUUAACUCCUUGUAGAAAACCUGAGGGGAAGUACAGUGUGGCAUUGUAUUGGGGACAGGUUUUGUUACUUACUUUUUCACAUAGAAGCACAGGCUAGACUGGCCUGGGUAGGUGGCUCAGGGCUGCUCCCACACCAGGAAUCUGAAGCAGUGUCAGUGGCCACGGGCUUAGCAGGUUGGAGCUGGAUGGACUUGAUGCAAGGUGGUGGGCACCACUGGCACAGCACCCCGGCUGGCCACAUGGGGGAAAAGGCCCGGGCCCUGCUGCCCACGUGUGACUCUUGGGGUCUUGGCUGCGUUGCCACUUUGUCCCGGGAGGCCCUGCUACAUGCUGCUGCACUCUAGGAGCUGGGAGCCCAACAAUGCCCUGCAGGUCUAAGGAGCCUGCCCUGGUCCCUGCACUGACUGGAACCACUGGAGAAUGAAACAGCCCCAGAUAAUAGCACUCAUGGGCUUGAACAAGGAGCUCAGUGACCUCCUGGACUUUAGCAUGAUGUUCCUGCUGCCUGUGGCCAGUGGAAAGGGCUGGCCUGUCUCCUUGGCCAGCGCACAGUUCAGAGGAGCAGGUCCGGAGGACUGGCCUGGUAGGGGCUCCUGGGACACUGGCGAUCAGAACACCUCCUCCUUCAACCCCGGCCAGAGCUACAGUGAAGGACCCACUUCAGUGAGUCCCAUGGCAGCCUUUCUUGGUUCACAUUCUUGGGACCUGGGACCUGGGCUUGGAGGCAAGGGCGGUCAGUGGGGCCGGGUACGUAUCCCAUCUUCUGGAGAGACACGGCUGUUGGCAGCUUGACUCAGGUCAGGUUCCUGACUGGUGAGCUGGCCCUCUGCAGCCCCGGGCCACUGUCCUUCUCAGACAUCAAGGGAGCACCCAGUACAAUGCCUCCUAACCCAGCAACCCUUGGGGCAGAGCCUCAGGAGGCCACUGGGCCCAUAGCCCAAGAAUGUCCAGAAGUUUCUACUUGUUCUUCCUUCCUCAUUGUACCCUCCCACCCCCAAUAUAAUAAAAAUAACUUUUUUAGAUUUAUUUAUUUGAAAAACAGAGUUACAGAGAGACAGAGAAAGAGAGAGAGAGAGAAAUUCCAUCCACUGAUUCACUCUUAAAAUGGCCACAACAGCUGGAGCUGGGCCAAUCCAAAGCCAGGAACCAGGAGCUUCUUCCAGGUCUCCCACGUGGGUGUAGGGCCCAAGCAUUUGGACCAUCUUCUGUGUUUGGACCACCCUCUGCUGCUUUCUCAGGAAUAUUAUUAGCAAGGAGUUGGAUCAGAAGUGGAGCACCCAGGACUUGAACCGGAACCCAUAUGGGAUGCCGGCACUGCAGACAAUGGUUUUAACCAUUGCACCACAACACUGGCCUCAAUAAGAAUCACUUUCUCUCUCUCUCUUUUAAAAUAGUCUUUUUUUAACAAUUCUUUUAGAUUUUUGUUUAUUUAUUUAAGAUAUAGCAUUACAGGCAGUGGGAAGGGGAGACAGAGAGGUCUUCCAUUUGCUAGUUCACUCCCCAAAUGGCUGCAAUGGCUGGAGCUGCACUGAUUGGAAGCCAGGAUCUAGGAGCUUCUUCCAGGUCUCCAGUGCGGGUACAGGGGUCCAAGGGCUUGGGUCAUCUUCUACUGCUUUCCUAGGCCAUAGCAGAGAGCUGGAUUGGAAGAUGAGCAGCCAGGACUAGAACGGGUACCCAUAUGGGAUGCCGGCGCCACAGGUGGAUUAACUUACUGAGUCACAGCACCAACCCCUGAAUCACUUUCUUUCUAAGACCAGACUUCUAAGAAAAGGCCAGGAAAAGAAACAGACAAUGUUGGACAUCCGGAAAGAUGUUAAAGACGCGAUUGUGACAAUAGUUUCGGCGAUGAGCACCAUUAGACCCCCAGUUCCACUGGCCAACCCGGAAAACCAGUUUCGAUCAGAUUACAUCAAGAGCAUCGCACCUGUCGCUGAUUCUGAGUAUUUGCAGGUAGGUAGGUCAGUCCUUUCCAAAAUACUUUAAACAGUGACAGAUGGAACUAUUUUUAACGACUUGCUCGUUGAGAAUCAGGUGUUAAUUCAUUAUGAACUGUCUUUGAAAUCUGGCUCUCUGACGGCUUAAGAGCAGUAUUUCCUCUAUUCUGAAAUACUUGUCUUGGUUUGAAAUAUUGAAGACAGCGGGACUCUAAGAAAUGCUUGUAUGAAUGUGUGGGUGAGGCUGAUAAGAAGACAGCAUACCUUUAAGAAAUGUGAGAAUGCUUUUUCCUGUAUGUGUUGUUAAAGUUACAGGCAGCUUCCCAGAUAACAACAGUAGGAAUUCCAUGAGAAGGACAUUGACGGGGUAUAGUUGCCUCUCAAGGAAUAACAGAACAGAAUUCAGUUUCCUGUUCAGAUGCGCAUGUGUCACAAGAGCACUGGCCUCUCCUGAAUGUCAUGUGUCAUGUGAAGGUGCACUUGGGAUCACACCUGCAUGCCCAAGGCCUGCUUUCUCUCCGGGUGGGUGGCAGUGUGGCUUAGGCAAAAGGUCAUCCCGGUAUUUGCUUUCUCUCCUUUGAUGGACAUAGACUUCUUGAAAUAUUAUUACUGGAGCAUUUGAUAGAGCGUGUUUCAAAGGAAAGGAUCUGUCAGGUUCCUCAGGAGGCUGUCACAGUUGCAUUGGUAACCAUGUGUGUGUCUGCGCCUGUGCUCUUGCAGGGAAUGGGCUUGUCAGUGACAGUGCUUCAGAGUUUGUGCGCUUGGCAUGGUGGUUCCUGCUCAGAAUCCUGUCUUUGAAGGGAAGUUCUUGCAAAAACCUGUGUGUAAGACAGAGCGGUCUUGCACUGCCCUGACUGAGGGCCCAUGUCACCUGCUCGCACCUGCUCCUUCUUCUUGACAGAGCACUAUGUCAUCCUGUGGAAUCUGUGUUGGGACGAUAGAUAAAAACUACUUUAAAAAAAAAGCUUUUAUUUGCAUGCUCUGGUGUAAGUUUUGCUUCUGAAAAGUAUUCCAGCAUAGCCAAUGACAUCUCUAGAAUGUCCGUAAAGGAGUUAGGGCGUGCGCAGGAAGAAGGAAGAAGGGGCUCGGACAUCUGGCCCGGCGAGCUCACUGGUUUUACUGAACUGUGUCGUAAAUUGGGCAGCUCACAGAGGGUCAAGGGGCUGUUGUGGCAGGUGGGUCCCACGGGUCCCACAGGUCCCACAGCAGGACGAUGUCCUCCUGUUUUGCUAUGAUACUUUUGCAUGUUGAAGAAAUCACUCGAAACUACAAUCCUGGCUGAUACCAGCAGUGGCGUCCCAUUCAGCCCGCAAUUUAAACAUUUAGAGACAAAAUUCAAGUCCUCCGGUGUGUUCUAUCAUGUCUGCCUAAAAGUAAUCAUAAAAUCUCCAUAUGUUUAGGGAAAUUAUUCUUAGCAUGUAGUGAGAAAUUAAGGUUAAGAGUUAUUAACCAGUCCCAUGUUGUUUUUCUUCUGUACUUGACAAACUCACGGGUGAUGAGGGCUCUCAUAAUCAAUCAAGAAUUCAGAAGCGGUCAGUAACUCUCACAUGUAUUAUCCAAGGAAUCCAAAGAGCCUUGCUUGUGAAAGUAGUGUUUGAGCUAAAUCACAAAUAUUUUUAAUUAAUAAAUAAAGCUUGGGGAACUGUUUCCUUUGCAUACAUGUAUUUUCAUAUAGACAUGGUAAGAGUCUUUAAAAGUGAUUUUCUUUUUUUUUUUUUUUUUUUUUUUUGACAGGCAGAGUGGACAGUGAGAGAGAGAGACAGAGAGAAAGGUCUUCCUUUGCCGUUGGUUCACCCUCCAAUGGCCGCCGCUGCAGCCGGCGCACCGCGCUGAUCCGAUGGCAGGAGCCAGGAGCCAGGUGCUUUUCCUGGUCUCCCAUGGGGUGCAGGGCCCAAGCACCUGGGCCAUCCUCCACUGCACUCCCUGGCCAUAGCAGAGAGCUGGCCUGGAAGAGGGGCAACCGGGACAGAAUCCGGCGCCCCGACCGGGACUAGAACCCGGUGUGCCGGCGCCGCAAGGUGGAGGAUUAGCCUAUUGAGCCACGGCGCCGGCCUUAAAAGUGAUUUUCAGAAAACCAUCUUUUAGUAUCAGUAGACCAAAGGAGAAGUUGGUACCAGCAGAUGCAAAUGCAGUUAUAAUCCUCUCUCAGGAACAGUGCUCUGCCCAGGGAGGGUAGUUACUUGUGUUUUUUUUAAAGCCUAACAUUCUAUUAUUUCAUAUGUCUGUUCUUAACAAAUAAGAGUAUGUUUUACUUAUAAUAUAGUUCAGACUUAAAUAAAUAUAAAUAUUAAUAUACAGUAUUCCUUCUAAAAUGCUACUGUUAUUUUAAUGUUUUCCAGUUUUCAAUGCCUUGUUUAUCUUGCUUUUUUUUAAAAAAAGGUUUAUUUAUUUAUUUGAAAGGCACAGUUAUAGAGAAAGAAGGAAAGACAGAAAGAGAGAUUCCCUGCACUGGUUCACUCCACAAAUAAGGCUGGGCCAGGCCAAAGCCAGGACCCAGAACCUCCAUCCAUCUCCCAUGCAGGUGCAGGGGUCCAAGGACUUGGGCCAUCUUCUACUGCUUUCCCAGGCCAUAGCAGAGAGCUGGAUCGGAAGUGGAGCAGCCCAUAUGGAAUGCUGGCACUUCAGGCCAGAGCAGUAACCCCCUGCACCACAGCACCAGCCCCCAAAUCCCUGAUUUCUCUACAUAAGACCCUGGGCCGGGCCAGUGCUCUGCCCUAGCAGGUAAAGUCACCACCUGCAGUGCCAGCAUCCCUAUGGGCACCGGUUUGAGAUCCGGCUGCUCCACGUUUGAUCCAGCUCUCUGCUAUGGCCUGGAAAAGCAGUAGAGGAUGGUCCAAGUGCUUGGGCCCCUGCCACCCAUGUGGGAGACCUGGAUGAAGCUCUUGGCUCCUGGCUUCGGCCUGGCCAUUGCAGCCAUUUGUGGAGUGAACCAGUGGAUGGAAGACCUCUCUCUCUCUGCCUCUCCUUCUCUCUCUGUGUAACUCUGACUUUCAGAUAAAUAAAUAAAUCUAAAAAAAGAAAAGACCUUAGGCGUAUUCAGAUGAAAUUUCCUCUUUUGAAGGAAUAUGUGCUUUUGUAAACAUAAAAGUUGAGCUGAAUCAAGUAUUGUAAUAGUAAUUUUUUUCAGACUGAAUCUUUGAAAAAGUCUGUCAGUAUCACCUGCCAAUGAGUUGAGGAUCUUGAGCUUAUUUUCCUAGAGGUACAAAAUAGCUUUUGAACCCAAUGUGUUCUGUUAUUAAAAAUUAAUUUCAGAAGGAAAAAUCACAAGAAUAACUUUUCUUAGAAGUGUCUUCAGAAUUUCCUCCAAGAGUGUGAUCCUGGGGGUAACAAGAAGGUAGAUUCCCUUUUGUUCUUUUUCUCAUUGUACUGCCUUUAAUUUGAAUUUCAACUGAAGUUGAUGAAACUCUGGUUGUAACAAAAAGAAGGCAGAUUCACCUAGCUCCUGCCAGUGAGACCUCAGUGUUAGAGGUUAGACCAAGCCAGAGACCUGAUCUCUUCGGGCUGAUAACCCAAAGCCCUUCCAGGAUCCUCUGCAAUGGUGUUGUCCGUUUUGGUUAGCAGUGGGCCACGUCUCUGAACAUGGUCUUCCAUGCUGAUAACAGAACUGAAGAAUUUUUAUUGCCUAGCAUUUUUCCUGUGCCUUUUCUGUGGGUAGAUACACAAAUAUCAACCAUUAUGUUACAGUGGCCUACAGCAUUCAGGGCAGAGGCAUACUGUACAGGCUGGUAGUCUAGGGGCAGCAGUCCAGACCACACAGCCCCAGUGUGUGGUCACCUGUGCCGUCCAGGUCUGUGGAAGCCCACUCUCUAGAACAUCACCCAACAGUGCAUUGCUCAGAAGCGGUCCCGUUGCUAAGCAACACACAGCUGUGUAUUAAGUGAUUGUCUCAUACCAAGAUCACUCUGGCUGGGGCGAAGACGUAUUGAAAUGGGCAAGAGUGGAACCACUCCGGAGGGUACCCUAGUGACCCAGAUGGAAGAGAAGGGGACGACUGGGCUGAGGUGGGGUGGGGUUUAUUUUGGGGUUUAUUUUGGAAAUAGAACCAGUCAGGCUGGCUGCUGUGUGGGUGUGGAUAUGGAGUCACCAAGAGUGACUCUGAGUGGUUGGGCAUGGAUCUCUGCAUCAAUGAUGGCAGCAGGUUAGGGGAGGAAGGUGUGAGAGGAGUUGCUGUUUUCUGGCCAACUGCACACAGCUGUUUGGACUCCCAAGCAGGGAUAUCAAGGGGCUGGUUGGCUUUGUGGGUUUGGAGCACAGUGGGAAGGCUGACCCAGAGGUGGUCUGGUGCAAAGGAUCAUUUAGGGAGACUCAGUGGCUACCUGUGUGAAGAGGGCCAGGGGUCAAGGAUCCAGGGAGCUGUCCAUCAGGAGAAAGUAGGACAGUGGUGCUGUGGGGGCCCUGGGAAGAGCUGUUUAAGAAGGAAAGAAGGGAUAGGCUUUUGGCCUAGUGGGUAAGAUCCCCACAUUCCACAUCGGAGUGACUGGGUCCGAACCUUUGCUGUGGCUCCUGACUCCAGCUUCUUGCUGGCAGGCAGCAAGCAAAUGCUCAAACAUUGGUCUCUGUUACCCAUGUGAAAGACUCAGACUGAGUUCCCAGCUCCUGGCUUCAGCCUGGCCUAACUGCAGGUUGCAGAUUUGGGAUGUGAACCAGCAGAUGAGAGAUCUUUGUCUGACACUCUGUGUUUCUCUCUCUCUUGCUCUCUCUCUCCCCCUCUCCCUCCUCUGAUUUAUAAAUAGAUGUCAAAUGCAGGCAGACAAGUCAAGAAGGGCACAGGCACUGAAGUAAUUUGGCCGUGGCAGCUUGAAGGUCACCAGGCGGGGUGUUUUGAGGAGGGGGUGCAGGGCAGUCUGGGCUCUCCAUUGGUUUGGGUCUUAAGGAAUGCUGAGAAGCCAGGCAGCUCAGAGAAGCCAAGAGAGGUUUUCUGUUGAGGUGGAAGGGGCAAAGCCUGCCCAUGUGCAAAUGGCCUGAGUAGUUUGAUGAAGAAGAGACAGCGACAGUGUGGCUGCUGCAGAGCCUGCCCUGAGAGGGAGAAGGGGGCUGGGACUCAGAACACAAAGGGAACAGACUGUUGAUCAUGGGAGUGCAGAGGACAGGUGCAGAUGCAGGUCAGUUUUCAGAUGUGACAGAGAUGAGGGAAGACUUGUUUGCAAGGCCUCUUAAAGAGCAUAGGCAUUGCAUGUGAGAAUGACUGGUCUGGGAAUUACCCGACAGCUUCCUUGUCUAGUGCUUGUUCUUGUUCCUGGCUGUGAUGAGCAGCGAUAGAUAGGUGAUGAGGUCCAUGACCUCAAGCUCCAAGGCAAGUGACAGACAGGUGUUCCCUUCACAAGACAGAAGUGUGAAAGGCUCUUCUUACCAAGGUGUCAGAAGCAAAGCAUCCAGUGUCCUCACUCACUCACUGACAAGAUACUUGCAGCUGAAUAACAUAAGACUUUGGGGGGCAAGGCCAGUAUAAUAUGUGAAAUUUUUAUUUCAAAUGAAAUAAAUACAGAAGGACUGUGCAAUGUGUAAAUCAUAAUCAAAAGGAAAAGUACUGGUAUUAGCUACCAGUACUCAGUUGACCAUUGUCUGGUUAUAGUUUUGAUUGUCAUUAGUGCAGCCAACACAGCAGAUCAUCCUGGCCCUGAACUUGGCUCUAGCAUUAGUUGGCACCAUGUGUUUCUUGCCAGACUGUGUGCCAUAGAGCCCCCAGCAUAUCAACACACUAAGUGAUGGGAAUGGGUCUUAGGGAGCCACAGUGGUACUCAUUGACAUCAGUCAACUGAUCAUUUAUGAAACUGGAAAAACACGGUUCAUCCCCUACCAAAAAAAAAAAAAAGAGAAGAAGAAAGGAAGGAAAGAAAAGAAAAGAAAAAAGGGAAAACCCUUAGCACAAUACAAGCAAAACUACUGUUGAAUUCAGUUGAAUUACUCACUUGUUUGACUUUUCCUCUUUAAAUGUAGAUAUUACAUUAGCUCUUUUUAAAAAAAUAUUUAUUUAUUUUGUUUAUUUGAAAGAGUUAGAGAGAGAGGUAGAGACAGAGAGAGUCAGGUCUUCCAUCCACUGGUUCACUUCCUAAAUGGCCGCAAUGGCCAGAGCUGAGCUGAUCUAAAUCCAGGAGCCAAGAGCUUCUUCUGCGUCUCCCACAAGGGUGCAGGGCCCAAGCACUUCAGCCAUCCUCCACUGCUUUCCCAGGCCAUCAGCAGGGAGCUAGAUUGGAAGAGGAGCAGCCGGGACUUGAACUGGCACCCUUAUGGGAUGCUGGUGUUGCAGGCUGGAGCUUUAACCCACUGUGCCACAGCUCCAGCCCCUAUAUUAUCUCUUUUACAAUUGUGUAUUCCUAGAUUUUUCUAAGGGGAAGACAGUAAGUGAGGCUAAACAAGAAAUGCAAAAGCAGUCAGUGCUGUGUGGUUUCUGCCUGAGAGCUCCAAACUGGCAUUUCAUCAUUGUAGCAUAAAUACACAGAGGAGGAGGCAGGGACCACCACCCUCCAAUGAGAGUAGCCUGUGUCAAGUGGAUUUGGUGCAGCUAACACACAGUAUUCCCUUAGGUAACUGGCAAAGAAUAUCUCUGUGGACUGGAACCAGGUCCCAGAGAGCCAGGUUGCCCAUGUAAGACGUGGAUCCACCACUCCCUAAAGGAAUGACCUUGAGCAAGUAACCUUGAUCUGUGCAGUGUUCCUGCUGUGGCCAGUGCUACCUCAUAGGACUCACAGUGCUCAAUCUCAGCCCAAACUGCCCAUGUGCUUGGUCCAGUCUCCUCCGGAGCAGGUGAAGAAUUUCUAGAAUAUGUGUCAGUCAUCUAAGAGAGUGGCUUUGUGUGUGUGUGUGUGUGUGUGUGUGUAAUCAACAUGAAGCUCACUAUGGAAAUGAGGUCAGAGUGAGUUCCUCCCAUGGGAGCCCAAGCUACACCGUGCUGAGUACCACCUCCCCAGCAUUGUUGAAAAAUGGUGGAGCAGCUGCAGAGGAUACUACAGAAAAAUUGGUGGAGGAUAUUUGGCCUUACUGAUUAGGGUGCUAGUUAAGACAAGACUACACUCUGUAUCAAAGUGUCUGGAUUCAUUGUCUGGCUCCAGCUUCUGACUCCAGCUUCCGACUCCAGCUUCCUGCUACUGCAGAUCCUGGGAGGUACUUGUGGUGGUUCAAGUGAUUGGGUGCCUGCACUCAUAUGGGAAACCUGGAUUGAGUUUCCACUCCUAGCUCCAGCCACAGCCCAGCCUUUGCUGCUGUGGGCAUUUGGAGAAUGAACCAGUGGAUGAGAAAUCUCUGUCUCUCUGCUUCUCAAGUAAGUAAACAAAUUUUUAAAAGAAGUUAGUGGGAAAAUGCAAUUAGAAGGCAAGUUUGGGGGAAGUCCCAUGGCUCACUUGGUUAAUCCUCCGCCUGUGGCACCGGCAUCCCAUAUGGGCACCGGGUUUAGUCCCGGUUGCUCCUCUUCCAGUCCAGCUCUCUGCUGUGGCCCAGGAGGGCAGUGGAGGAUGACUCCCAUUGCUUGGGCCCUGCACCCGCAUGGAAGACCAGGAAGAAGUACCUGGCUCCUGGCUUUGGAUCGGUGCAGCACUGGCUGUGGCAGCCAUUUGGGGGUGAACCAAUGGAAGGAAGACCUUUCUCUCGGUCUCUCUUUCUCACUUGUCUAUCUAUCACAUAAAAAUUUUAAAAAAGAAGGCAAGUUUAUUUUGGUGCAAAAAGAUUGAAACCCAUAUUUAUUUGAAAGGCCGAGUGACAGAGGAAGAGAAUGAGAGAGAGAAAGAUUUCCCAUUAACUGGUUCACUUUUCAAAUGGCCUUUAUAUCCAGGGCUGGGCCAGGCCAAAGCCAGGACUCUGCAACUCCAUCCAGGACUCCCAUAUAGGUGUAGGGUUGGUCCAAGCACUUGGGCCAUCUUCCACUGCCUUCCCAGGCACAUUAGCAGGAGCUGGAUCAGAAGCAAAGCAGGAGCCGGUGCUGUGGUGUAGUGGGUAAAGCCACUGCAUGCAUCCCUUAGGGACACUGGUUUGAGUCCCGACAGCUCCACUUCUGAUCCAGCUCUCUGCUGUGGCCUGGGAGACCUGGAAGAAGCUUCUGUCUACUGGCUUUGGAUUGGUGCCAUUCUGGCCAUUGUCGCCAUCUGGAGAGUGAACCAGCAGAUGGAAGACCUCUCUCUCUCUCCCUCUCUCUCUCUCUCUCUCUCUCUCUGUGUGUGUGUAACUCUGACUUUCAAACAAAUAAAUAAAUCUUAAAAAAGAAGAAGCAGCAGAGCAGCCAGGACUUGAACUAUUUCUCUCAUAUGGGAUGCCAGUGCUGCAAACAGUAUCUUAACCUACUGCAACUACUAUGUCGACCCCUAUACAUGGCCUUGUUGUAAUACAAGUUUUUCAGGUCUCCUAGCCUGGGUGCUACCUCUGUGCCUUUGAGGAGGCUGAGGCAGGGGAUGUGUGGAGCAUCUCCUGGGGUAAGAAGACAACAGGGAGCUCAGGAGACACCCUCAGAAUCUCUGAGUAUAUGGCCUGGACAGCAAUCAGGUCAUAAGGGGAGAUGCUGGAGCCAGCCAUGUGCUUGUUGCAAGGAUUCAGUAUCUUAAUAAUUGAGUUGUAUACCUUUAAAAUCAGUACUACAUUCCUGCUCUGCACAGAGAAGUGGGAGCCAGACAGAGUCAGCCAUGUCCUCUGUUAUCAACUUGGGCCAGAGUAGCCUGUGAGCUCUGCAUGUCUCAGUUGAUCCAGCCUAGAGACCCUGGAAGUGGAACAUGGGCACCCAACUCCUGUGGACUCUUUGGAUCCCAUGGAGAACCAGUUGAACCCUACAACUACUGUGACUCAAGUUGAAAUUUUUUUAAAGAUUUGUUUAUUUAUCUGAAAGGCAGAAUGAGAUAAAAAGAGAGAGUCUUCUAUCCACUGGUUCUCUCCCCAAUUGAUCACAAGUGCCAGGGCUGGACCAGGCUGAAACCAAGAACCAGGAGCUUCUUCUGGGUUUUCUAUGUAGCUGAUAGUACCCAAGGUACUUGGGACACCUUUUGCUGCUUUCCCAGACCAUUAACAGGGAGCUAAAUUGGAAGUGGAGCAGCUAAGACACAAACCAGUACCCAUAUGGAACACUGGCAAAACAGGUGGCAAUUUAUUGCACUGUACCACAAUGCUUGCUCCUCAAGUCAGCAUUUACAACAGUGUAUUCCUUUCCAGGCCAAGAACUGUCAUCCCCACACCUCACAACCUUCCUGAGGGCAGGCACCCCUGAUUGUCUCCCAACGUCGUUGGGCCCUACCUGCUUAGGAAUUCUGCUUUGUGCCCUCCUCUGGCACAGGUCCCAAAGAGUUGUUCAAGUACCUGGAUGACUGACCUGCACCUCAUUUCCCACCCGGUCUCUCACCAGCGGCGUCCUCCCCUCCACAGGAUGGGCCUUCCCCCUUCAGGUUCCAGCAUAUUUACUUCAACUGACUGAUGUUUUCUUUGUUUCCUACCUCUCUGCCCACGGUCAUCCCACACUUCUGAUUCUGUGACCUACCGAGCCACAGGGCCCCUGAGCCCAUGUGGGGCCAGCCUGCAUCUGCCAGACCCCUGCUGCACUCCUUGCCCUACUCUGUGGGGCGACAGUUGCUGUCCAGUGUCACCCCGAGUGCCAACAAGAGCCUGGCUGGUGCUCCCAACCCAGCACACCCUUGCUUCAUGCUGUCCAGAGAUUUGAAGCAGAGGAGCAUCUUGAACUCCAGUAUUGUCAGCUUUUUGAAUUUUUGUAAACAAAAUAUUUUGUAAAAAUUGUAGGCUGUGUUUUCUAGCUUUUUUUUAAGAUCCUAGAAAAGGUUCCUCCUUUGAUGAACAGUAGUCUUUCCUUUAAAAAAAAAAAAAGAUUUACUUGUUUAUUUGAAAGACAGAAUUACAGAGAGAAAGAGGCAGAGAGAGAGAUUUUCCAUUCACUGGUUCACUCCCCAAAUGUCAACAACAGCCAGAGCUGGGCCAGGCCAAAGCCAGAAACCAGGAGUUUCAUCCCAGUCUCCCACGUGGGUGCAGGGGACCUAGCACUUGGGCCAUCAUUGACUGCCUUCUCUAGUGCAUUAGCCAGGAACCGGAUUGUAAGUGGAGCAGCCGGGACUUGAACUGGCACCCAUAUGGGAUGCCAGCAGUGCAGGCAAUGGCUUAACCUACCAUAGCACAGCAAUGGCCAGGUAGUCUUUCUCAUUCACAGCUCUCAUUUUAUCUCUGGGGAGUGCAUGCUUUCAUUUUAGACUCAGGAUGGCCACACUGAUUCUAUAAGGAAUUACAAAACCCAGACUUUAAAGAUGUGUUGAAAAUGGACUGUGAGUGAGAGAGACCACCUGGUCCAACAGCUCCAGCCGAGGUCCUGAUGGCAGAGGAGGUUAAGAACUUGGGAGUCUGUGUGGUUCCCAGGCUAUCUGUGGGGUGUCCUGGCAAUUGGCAGGGAUGGAGCCUGGCCUCUCUGGCUCAGUGCCUUCCCACUCUAAGGCUGGAACAGGUAGUGUGUGAGCAGUAGGCUCCAGUGGAGGAGCGUUGAGGUCCCUGUUGUGGUUUAUAUAUUAGUUUUGGGGGUUCCCAAAGGCCCACAUGUUAAAGGCUUGGUACCCAAACUUUUAGAUUAACUAUCAGUUGAUUCAGGGUGGAAACUUAAUCCAAUUAUGGCAUCUGAAGGUGAGGCCCUUGGGAAGUGAUUGGAUUGAGUAGGUUGUUAAGAGUGGAGCUCCAUGUUGGAACCAUGGAACUGUGUAAGGUGAGGCCCCAGAGACUCAGAUAAUGAGCACCCUCCCAGUUCCUCUGCCUCCUGGGCUUCCAGGUGAUCCCUCCUCUGCACGUCUCCACGAUGCUGCCCUGCAGCCUCACCAGAUGGCCAGGCCGAUGAGGCCACCUGAUCUUGGACUGUGAACCUCCAAAACCAUAAGCCACAAUAACACUCCUUCCUUCCUAAGUAGCUUCUCUCAGGCAUUUGUUAUUUGACACAUUGGCUAACGCAGUCCUUGAGACCCUGACUGCUGAGAGUGUAAAGAAGGAGGCUCUGCACAGGAUGGGUGAGUGUCCUAGGGGAGGUCACGGGGGCUGCUCCGGCUGCUUCGUAAUUGUUCAGCAAACUUACUGAGUGUUAGAUGUGGAGUGGACUCAGACUUAACAAAUACAGGUACAGCUGCUGUGUGGUGCCACAUUUGAGGGGUUAAAAAGGGAACACUUAGGAGCCCACUGAAGCACUCACCCAGCUAAUUUCAUGUGGAACUGAACCUCCCGCCAAGGGUGAGAAUAUCCAAGGACAGGUGGACCGCCUCUUCCUGACCCACAAACAGGCAGCUAAGGCAGGCUGAGGGCAGGUGCGGGAGGCUCACAGGGUGGAGAAGGACAUGUGCAGCCGGCCCAGGGCACCAGGCUUCCUCCACAGACUGUGAAGAAUGGUUUGGUGGCUUCCAUCAGGAGAGGUUCAAAAGGCGAGCUCCUGAAUUCAUAAAGACCGCACUUUCCUGUCUGUGUGGGAACAGCUCCAGGCUGUGUGUCAGAGCAAAGGCCUCUGACAGAAACCUACUCUCCAAGGGCUGUGUUGGCUCUUAGGGCAGUGUGACACCCCUGGGAGCUGUCAUUUAUUUUUAUUACCGUUAUGCUUAUCUGUAUCCUGGUAAAGGGAAUUUCCUCAUCACAGUAAAAUAUUUCAGUAUUUUAGCAAGCAUAGAGCUCAAUAAAGACUUUUUUAAAUUCCAGUUUUUCUUUGAAAUAUUAUCAUAAAAGAUAUAUCUAAUGAAUGUUAGCUUUUUGUUUUGAAACAAUUUUAAUUUAUACCUCAAAUGCAAAGUGAUACAAAAAAAAAUGCCCCAUGUCUCCCCCCAACCCUACCCUGACUCUUAAGUGCUCAUGUCUGGCCACAGCUGAUUUCUCGUCCCACCUAUGCUAACGCACACUCAUAUCUAGCCACAAUCCCACAGCUGGUCUCUCAUUGCAUCUGCACGAGCCCACAUUGCAUCUGCACGAACCCACAUUCAUGUCUGGCCACAGCUGGUCUCUCCUCCUGCCUGCACUAACACUCACCAGUGUCUGGCCACAGCCGCUCAUCCCAUCUGCCUUAGGACAAGGAGAUCCGUGCACACAAAUACAGUGCAGCUUUCCAGAUAAGAUGAUUUAACAUUCAAGCAGCAUUUGCUUUAUAGCCUGUAAUGUUACUCAGAUUUCCCCGAGUCCCGGUAAUAUUGGAGGAAAAUAGUAGCAGUAAUAAUAAUAAAUUAUGAUAAUAGUAACUCUGGUCAGUAGUCCAAUCCAGGAUCAAGCACCACAUGCAAUUUCCAGUUCUCCUGGACUCUAGAAUGACCCCCCAGCCUUCCUUUCCCAUCACAAUGUUGAUCUGAGCCUCACUUUGUGGAUGACCCCAUAGGGAGCUCACGUGAUGGUGACUCCACUGGACUUUAUGCUUUGGCAGGUUUUGCAGAGAAGUAACCCAUGUCUUUCUCAGUGCCUCUGCGAUGCUAAUUCUGGUCAUUUACUGAAGGGGGGAGGUUGUCUCCACAAAGGUACCUCUGUUCCCCUGGUAAUUCCAAAGUCAGUCUUCAGAAUAUCUUCUGAGGCUGCUGUAGGACCUUGUGCUUUUUUUUUUUUAAAGAUUUACUUAUUUAUUUGCAAGUCAGAACUACACAGAGAGAGGAGAGGGAGAGGGGGAGAGAGAGAGAGAGAGAGAGAGAGAGAGAGAGAGAGAGAGAGAGAGAUCUUCUAUCCAAUGGUUCACUCAAUUGGCCACAGUGGCUGGAGCUGUGCCGAUCCAAAGCCAGGAGCCAGGAGCCUCCUCCAGGUCUCCCGCAUGGGUGCAGGGACCCAAGAUCUUGGGCCUUCUUCCACUGCUUUCCCAGGCCACAGCAGAGAGCUGGAUCAGAAGUGGAGCAGCCGGGUCUCGAACCAGUGCCCAUAUGGGAUGCAGGCACUUCAGGCCAGGGCGUUAAGCCGCUGUGCCACAGCGCCGGCCCCAAUAGUACCUUGUUCUUAACAAAACUUUCACAGUCUAGUUUUAGCCCACUGAUAAUUUUGAACCAGCAUAAGAACUUGAGGGGGGAAGUUGCGGCCCAGUUCUUUUGACUAUUUGUCAGUAUGUUUUUAUUGUGAGAAUAAAGUGGGGUGGAGAUCGUGCUGCUGUGUCACACGUAUGCACAGCACUGCAGGCUUGCUGUGACAGCAUGUGGGGCAUGGACCAGAAGGGCCAGUGUGAAUCUCCAUCACUGCACCAAGAUGGCGGGACAGGGGCUGCACAGCAACUUCUUUUUAAAGAUUUACUGAUUAACUGAUUUGAAUGGCAGCGUCAGAGAGAGAGAGAGAGAGAGGUCUUCUGUCUGCUGGUUCAGUCCCCAAAUGGCCACAACAGCCAGGGUUAGGCCAUGUAAAGCCAGGAGCCAGAAACUUCGUCAGAUUUCCCACAUGGGUGGCAGGGGCCUAAGCACUUGGACCAUCUUCCGCGCUUUCCCAGGCGCAUUGGCAGGGAGCUGGAUGGGAUGUGGAGCAGCUGGGACUUGAACCUUGCACUCAUAUGGAAUGCCAGCAUCGCAGACAGCAGCAGGAGUGCAGCCCAGCACAGCAACUUUCAUGCAAAUCAGUUUUCCUUAUGGAAAAUACAUGUUAAGAGUCAUAAAGUAAGACAGCUUUUUUUUUUUAAUUCCCUGGAGAAGAUGUCAUGGAAACCUCAAAUCUUUGGAAAGUGUGAUGGUCAGCAAAGCAGCCUGUUGUUUCCAGAGUGCACCUCCAGUCUGAAGGUGUCGGGUUUGUUGCUCCUCUUACUUGAGGGGCCCGAUCACCUGCAAGGACACCUGCUCCUUUCAGAGGAACAGGGCACUAAAAAUACCUCAGGAUGGGAGCACUUUGUCCUUAUCACUGCUGAUUUUAUGUAACUCUGAGACAAUAUUUGAAAUCUCCAGCUCUCUCUGGGGACGCUAGAAGGAGUAGCCUCUUCUUAGGCACAGACUUAAAUGAGCCAACCCAUGUAGUUUGGGAGUGAGGCACACUAUGAUUUUCAGAGGCACAGUGACAAAGUUGUCCCUGAGAAGCUUCUUCUGAAAUCCUCACUUUUCUCAUUGUUUUGUUUUUUUUUUUUUAACUUUGGCACCAGAACAUCAUUCAUGAAGGUAUAGGGUUUUUUUCCUUCACCUCUUAAAAUAAUCUCAUAUUUUUCUCUGUCAUUUAUUAUGAAACAUAGAUUGAAUUGAAUCAACUUUAAGCAUAACAUUCUCACUGCACAAAGCAAGUUCAUUUGUUUAAAAACAUUUAUUUAUUUAAGAGGCAGAGCUACAGACAGAGAGAGGGGGAGACAGAGAGGUCUUCUAUCUGCUGGCUCACUCUCCAGAUGGCCUCAGUGGCCAGAGCUGGACCAAUCCAAAGCCAGGAGCAACGAGUUUCCUCCAGGUCUCCCACAUAGGGGCUGGGGCCCAAGCACUUGAACCAUCUCCCCCUGCCUUCCCAGGCCAUUAGCAGAGAGCUGGAUUGAAAGUAGAGCAGCUGGUCCUACAUCCUUCCUGGAGAAAAGGCACUCUGUCCCUCCCACAUCCGUUUCUGUCUCACAGACCUUUUUGGAGAUUUCUGCCCAAGCAAGGACCCCUGACUUCCUCCUCUCUGUCCCCUGUGUCCUUGUGCUUCUUCCCGCCAAGGGAUGGCCCCUCCCACCCUCAAAACUUGGCCUUGUCGACUGCUUGCGUCUUCCUCUAGCUGAACUAAGAUUCCCAAGAACACAGUUUGCAUGUUGUAUAGUUGUUCUUAUUUUUUCCUUUUUUUUUUUGUUUUAAAGAUUUAUUUUAUUUAUUUGAAAGUCAGAGUUACACAGAGAGAGAGAGGUCUUCCCAUCCACUGGUUCACUCCCCAGAUGGCUACAAAGGCUAGAGCUGCACCAAUCCGAAGCCAGGAGCCAGGAACUUCUUCCAAGUCUCCCAUGUGGGUGCAGGGGCCCAAGGACUUGGGCCAUCUUCUACUGCUAUCCCAGGCCACAGCAGAGAGUUGAUCAGUAGAGGAGCAGCUGGGACUAGAACCGGCUGCCCAUGUGGGAUGUCAGCACUUUAGGCCAGGGCUUUAACCCACUGUGCCACAGCAUUGGCCCCAGUUGUUCUUAUUUACAUAUUGAUUUGCCAAAGGCCGUCUUCAGCACUCAGUGUGCGCUGCAUUAAUGCUAAGAUAAUGAGUUCAACCACUAAGGACACCGUUCUCCUGGCCCCUUUUUAAGUCCCUCCAGUGAAGAAAGGCUAGACAGAUGCAGAAAGCCAUUCAUGCGUCAUAAUUUGAAGUGCUUGUCUUUUUACUGUCCUUUUACUCACAACUAGCCUUGUCGAGUUUUGCCACUACACCUGUGUUUACUGGGUGUGGGGACCCUGUCCUCAUUGUCUGGCACAUCAUUUGGCAUGUACCUGUGUGUGCUCAACGCAUGCAGGAUAAGCCAAUUGUCUGCCGUGUGUUCCACGCUGGCCUCCGCACCGUGGGUUACACAAAGAAUGCGAAAGUUGCAACCUCCAGCCUCAAGAGAUUUACACCUUAGUGAAGAAGCAAGGUGAACGUGACAGUACUUCAGAAAGUUCAUGGACACAUUGAAUUAUGAGAUACGUUAAGUGGGUCAGGGCCUGGUGGUUAAGAUGCCAGUCAGGACACCCGUGUCUCAGAUUGAUGCCUGGGUUUGACAGCCAGCUCCACUCCUUAUGCCAGUUUCCUGCUAAUGCAGCCCUGGGAGGUUGGCUCAGGUUGGGUCACUGCCACCCACAUAGGAGACCUAGCUUGAAUUCCCGCUCUUGGCUUCAGCCCCAGUGCUUCCCUGUUGCAGGCCUUUGGGGAGUGAAUUGGUGGGAGUGCACUGGCUCGCUCGCUCUCUCUCUCUCUCUCUCAAAUUAAAGAAAAAAGGAGAUGGAGGAAUGUUGUAUUGAGAAGCAAGAGUUAGAUGGGACCUAGACUACCAAGCCUGACUGGAGUUUUAUUCAUUAAAAAAAAAGAAAAGAAAAACUGGGCAUGAACAUGGCAGCUGAUGACACAAAAGGAAAACAUGGAAGUGAGAAGGAGGCACUGGCAGACAGUGUGGUCAGGCCUUGGCUCCGCUGCUCAGGAAAUCACAUCCCAUCACAGACCCAGGACUGUUCCUGGCACAGCAGCACCCCCUCCUCAGCCAUGGAGGCAGAGCGUGGGCUGGGGCGCAGAUGAGCCCGGAGUCCACAGAUUCCUUCCUUGGUGUUCAGAAACGUGGUACCUGUCCUCGUUCAGCUUUAAUGGUGGAUCAACUCACUGUGGCACUCAGUGCAACACACAUACAUACUUAGUGCUUAAAGAAACCUUAGUAAUGAAAAAAAAAAAAAAAGAAACCUUAGUAAUGGUAAUAUAUUCAGGAUGGAUUCUUAUUUUUUUUUUCAUUUUAUAAGCUUAGACUAAGCAGGAAGAGAUAAAUAAACAAUGGUUGCUUCAUGCAUAUCCAAUGCAAUUUUUUCCACCACAAUCUUGUUUAUCCACAUACAUAUCUAAACCACGCACACGUACUCAAAACAGGCAAGGGUUGCAUUAUCCACAAAACAGUUAUCCGAGUUGUGGAUGUUGCUUUGAAAAUAUUGCCCAAAUGCUGCACUUUGCUCAUUGACUGUUCUUCAAAAAUGUCUAAUGACAAUGAGACAAAACAUUUUAGAGUCAUCAUUGAAAAAAAAAAAAGAGAGAAAAUAUAUUUUCUCAAUUUUCCACCCUGCUACCACUACUCAUAUGAGGAUGAUAUAUUUUGUAACACUGUAUUCUUUUUUAAAAAAGAUUGAUUUUAUUUAUUUGAAGUACAGAAUAACAGAGAGAGGGAGAUGCAGAGCUAUUCCAUAUGCUAGUUCACUCCCCUAAAUGAUUAUGACAGCCAGGAGCCACGAACUCCAUCCUGGUCUCCCACGUGGGUGGCAUGGGCCUAAACACUUGAGCUGACUUCCACUGCCUUCGUAGGCACAUCAGCAGGAAGCUGAAUGGGGAGCGGAGCAGCCAUGACUCAAGAAUCAGCACUCCAGUGUGUCAAGCACCUGCCCAACCCACUGUCCCACAACAUCAGACCCCAUCACUGGGUGUUCUUGAUUGUUCGUGUAACCGUCUGCCCAAUCCCAGAUGAAUAGCUUUCGGCCAGUAUGUACAUAGCGAAAUGGCAGUGGUUAAUUGAAUUUUCAUUUUCGUAAAAGUAAUGUUGAGAAUGUUACGGGGUUAUUAUAAGAUUGCACUUAUUUUUAUCCUCAGCGGGUGCCGUUACUCUAAAGAACAGCUUUUAUAAGACUGCAAGUCAACCAAUGUGAGAAACUACUGGGAGGGCUCCAUCUUCUAUUUCUCAAGUCUCUACUCCUUAACCAAUCCCCUAAAUUUUGACACUAUCUCAGUGUUCUGUUACUUUACAAGUCAAAUAGUGUGAUGUGUCAUUUCAAGGUAUUUGGUUUUAAAUUUCUUAGGGGUAUUUUAAUAGGUCUUAAACUGUUGUAUUGAUUUUUUAGUAAUCUAUGUAAUCCUGGAAUCAUAUGUUAAUCAGGAAACUGAAAUGGCAUCUUUAACCGCUGGCAAGCUUGUCAUCAGUGCUCCUGGUUUCUUCUGUUAACAUGUCAUAAUUAAUAAGUAGUACCUCAUAUCACCCUAUGAAUUUCCAUAAUUUACUGGAAGUUAUUAUGUUUCAGUGUAACUGUUAACAGUUUGGUUGGAAUGGGCCUUUGGUUCAGUUUUUCAAAAUGAUUAUAUGAUAUGUGUCAAAAAUCAUGUGUACACCUUAGGAGUUCCAUCAGGCUGCACAGAUUCAGUCCAGAAUUAGAUCACGAUGUAAUGCAGGUGAGAGGAGGGUGGGCUUGGCGGGGCCCUUUGUGGGAGCACUCAAGUGCUGUCCUGUGGGGGAUGAGGCUUGAGCUGGUCUUUGAAGAAUGAAUGAGGUCAGCAGGUAGACCAGGGAUGGUGAUGACUGCAACACAGCUGGCACAGCAUCUCAUGCAAUUUAGGAUGCAUCUGAGGGGGCCCCAGAAACCCCUGCAGCCUAGGAGGAAAGUUGAGAAUGAGGUUAUCCUUAAAGGAAGAUUGUGGAAAGAUACUCAUAAAGUAAUGGAGUCCCUUGGACCAAAUUUAUAGGUAGUUAACUGGAGCUUUUACACUUGCUGCAAUAUAAAAUUUUAUGGUAUGAAUGUGGUGUGAAUAUUAUGGUAGAAAUAAGUAGAAAAUACCAGUGCAAGUUAAUAGAAACUCACAAGAAAUCAGGAAAUGUGUGUUCAUCAAAAAAAAAAAAAAAAGGUUGCUUUAAAAUUGCCCUAGUUGACACUUGAGGGUAAAUGUAAAACUGUUCAGUACAUAAGUCAAGUGAAUGUUGUUGAUUAACAAUUAACACUCUUAUUUAUGACAUCAAUGAUCACCCGAGGCUUUUGUCAUGAGCUGCCAAGGCAAUGGAAUCCUUUUGAGUUCACAAACUGCAUCCUUAUUUAGACAGGUGAAUGUUUUCUCUUCCCUUCAGAGAAAGAGACCUCCUUUUUUGUUGGUCCCUUCUUUCCGCUGGGAUCUCACUGACAGAGAUCUUUCAUGUAGGCCAUUUUUUUGCCACAGUGUCUUGGCUUUCUGUGCCUGAAAUGUUCUCAUGGACUUUUUAGCUAGAUCUGAAUGACUUAUUGACUGGUUCUGAGGCCAGAGUGCUGUUUAGCACGUUUGCCAUUCUAUGAGUCUGCUGUGUAUCCUGCUUCCCAUGUAGGAUCAUUCUCUCUUUUUAAUUCUAUCAGUAAGUAUUAGCAGACACUGGUCUUAUUUAUGUAAUCCCUUUGACACUUAUUCCUAUCUUUAUGAUCAGUUAUGCACGUAAAAUGAUCACUUUAAUAAGAUGGCAGUAGUACCUGCCAACUUAAUAGGAUUUGGAAUCUUGUGACAAGUAACUUGGUAUCAUUUCUUGAGACUUUUUUUGGAGAAGAAAAUAAAUAAAAUAAUACCAAAAAUACAAUAAUAGUUUUACACAUGUAAUUAUUUAAAGCAUUCAUUUCUGAGUAAUGGUGAAUUGUUCUGUCAGCAUACAAAGUUUAUUACUGGUCUCACCUCUGCCUCCUUCAUCUCUGUAACCUUGGGUGGGUUAAUUAGUAUCUCUGUGCUCAAUUU